GGCACUGGCGUUUAUGGGGAAGAGGAAGAAAUAACGCAGAUCAAGAUGCCUCGACCCCUCCACGACCAUCACCACCAUCAUGCCAAUUAAGUUGCCUUACUGGUGAAUGGCUUCCCAGAGACCAGGAAGAUAAGCUGUGAGGGGUGCCACCGAAUCAGCACCAGAACUGAAUAAGAGCUCCAGCACCUGGUCUUGCUUCAAUCCCAAGUGGAAUGGACUCUAGGUCUCGCCU
rnacentral:lncRNA from 1 species